rnacentral:rRNA from 1 species
AGUGAACGCUGGCGGUAGGCCUAACACAUGCAAGUCGAACGGCAGCACAGUAAGAGCUUGCUCUUACGGGUGGCGAGUGGCGGACGGGUGAGGAAUACAUCGGAAUCUACUUUUUCGGGGGGGAUAACGUAGGGAAACUUACGCUAAUACCGCAUACGACCUACGGGUGAAAGCAGGGGAUCUUCGGACCUUGCGCGAUUGAAUGAGCCGAUGUCGGAUUAGCUAGUUGGCGGGGUAAAGGCACACCAAGGCGACGAUCCGUAGCUGGUCUGAGAGGAUGAUCAGCCACACUGGAACUGAGACACGGUCCAGACUCCUACGGGAGGCAGCAGUGGGGAAUAUUGGACAAUGGGCGCAAGCCUGAUCCAGCCAUACCGCGUGGGUGAAGAAGGCCUUCGGGUUGUAAAGCCCUUUUGUUGGGAAAGAAAAGCAGCAGGUUAAUACCCCGCUGUUCUGACGGUACCCAAAGAAUAAGCACCGGCUAACUUCGUG